rnacentral:rRNA from 1 species
AGCGAACGCUGGCGGCAGGCCUAACACAUGCAAGUCGAACGAACCCUUCGGGAUUACUGGCGGAUGGGUGAGUAACACGUCGGAACGUGCCGUUAGGCACGGGAUAACACAUGGACACUUGUGCUAAUACCGAAUGUGCUCUUCGGGGGCAAGAUUAAGCGUCGUUAGAGGGGCCGGCGUUCGUUUAGCCAGUCGGUUGAGGUAAUGGCUCACGAAGGCGACGUUCAGUAGCGGGUCUGAGAGAACGAGCAGCCACAUUGGGACUGAGACGCAGUCCAGACUCUUGCGCGAGGCAGCAGUGGGUGAUCCAGCCCAAUCGGCGAAAUCAUGACGCAGUCCGGCCGCGUGAAUCAUGAUGUUCGGAGGAUUGUAAAGUUCUUUCACCGGGGGCGAUAAUGACGGUACCCGGAGAAGAAGCCCCGGCUAACUUCGUG